GGGAUUGUGGCUCAGUGGUAGUGCACUUGCCUAGCAUGCUUGAGGCACUGGGUUCAAUUCUCAGCACCA
rnacentral:tRNA from 1 species